rnacentral:tRNA from 1 species
CAAAGCAUGGCUGAUGGGAUUAGGCGCCGUCGCCAGUUUCAGCCUGGCGGGCUCUGAAUAUAACCAUUCCAUUAUUGCGAUCAGCAUCGCAAUGUUCUUA